rnacentral:rRNA from 1 species
UACGUAGGGUGCGAGCGUUAAUCGGAAUUACUGGGCGUAAAGGGUGCGUAGGCGGUUUGCUAAGACGGAUGUGAAAUCCCUGGGCUCAACCUAGGAACAGCAUACGUGACUGGCAGGCUAGAGUAUCGAAGAGGGGGGUAGAAUUCCACGUGUAGCAGUGAAAUGCGUAGAGAUGUGGAGGAAUACCGAUGGCGAAGGCAGCCCCCUGGUCAGAUACUGACGCUGAGGCACGAAAGCGUGGGGAGCAAACAGG